rnacentral:rRNA from 1 species
UACAGAGGUCUCAAGCGUUGUUCGGAAUCACUGGGCGUAAAGGGCGCGUAGGUGGCGGCCCAAGUCCAUGGUGAAAGCUCGAUGCUCAACAUCGAGUCGGCCACGGAUACUGGGUUGCUCGAGCACUGUAGGGGCAGAUGGAAUUCCGGGUGUAGCGGUGGAAUGCGUAGAGAGUCCGGAAGAACACCGGUGGCGAAGGCGGUCUGCUGG